rnacentral:rRNA from 1 species
UACAGAGGGUGCGAGCGUUGUUCGGAUUGACUGGGCGUAAAGGGCGUGUAGGCGGUUGGUUAAGUCGGAUGUGAAAGCCUGGGGCUCAGCCCCAGAAGUGCAUCCGAUACUAGCCAGCUAGAGCGCGAUAGAGGAGGGUGGAAUUCCUGGUGUAGCGGUGAAAUGCGUAGAUAUCAGGAGGAACACCGGCGGCGAAGGCGGCCCUCUGGAUCGUUGCUGACGCUGAGACGCGAAAGCGUGGGGAGCAAACAGG